rnacentral:rRNA from 1 species
UACAGAGGUCUCAAGCGUUGUUCGGAUUCAUUGGGCGUAAAGGGUGCGUAGGUGGCGCGCUAAGUCAGGUGUGAAAUUUCGGAGCUUAACUCCGAAACUGCAUUUGAUACUGGCGUGCUUGAGGACUGGAGAGGAGACUGGAAUUCAUGGUGUAGCAGUGAAAUGCGUAGAGAUCAUGAGGAAGACCAGUGGCGAAGGCGGGUCUCUGGACAGUAACUGACACUGAGGCGCGACAGCGUGGGGAGCAAACAGG